GACAGAAGGGAGCUUGCUCCCGGAUGUUAGCGGCGGACGGGUGAGUAACACGUGGGUAACCUGCCUGUAAGACUGGGAUAACUCCGGGAAACCGGAGCUAAUACCGGAUAGUUCCUUGAACCGCAUGGUUCAAGGAUGAAAGACGGUUUCGGCUGUCACUUACAGAUGGACCCGCGGCGCAUUAGCUAGUUGGUGAGGUAACGGCUCACCAAGGCGACGAUGCGUAGCCGACCUGAGAGGGUGAUCGGCCACACUGGGACUGAGACACGGCCCAGACUCCUACGGGAGGCAGCAGUAGGGAAUCUUCCGCAAUGGACGAAAGUCUGACGGAGCAACGCCGCGUGAGUGAUGAAGGUUUUCGGAUCGUAAAGCUCUGUUGUUAGGGAAGAACAAGUGCAAGAGUAACUGC
rnacentral:rRNA from 1 species